GGGCGGCGGCGGGUCCCACCUGAAGUCCUUGUCGCUGGAUGUCAUUUUCUCCAGCAGGUUGGAGAUGUGGAGUGUGAGGGAGCUCUAGGUCUUCCCUUUUCAGACCCUGAAGAAGCAUCUGAGAGUCUUCCUGGACUGGGGGAACAAGAUGGUGACAUGUAAGAAGAGCAGGAUCCUCUGCAUAGUGGCUCCUUCUUGCUGCCUCUGUGAAUUUCAUAUUUUAAAACAAAAAGCAUGGCAGUGGCAUUGCUUACAUAAGUGCUUACAUGAGCACAAGUGCAGGCCUAAGUUACCCAUAUUUCUGAUGUAGCAAGCACUCCACACAAUUUGAAUUAAAAGACUGCCAUGCAAGUAAGUGGCAUGCACUA